rnacentral:rRNA from 1 species
UACGAAGGGGGCUAGCGUUGCUCGGAAUCACUGGGCGUAAAGCGCACGUAGGCGGCUUUUUAAGUCAGAGGUGAAAUCCUGGAGCUCAACUCCAGAACUGCCUUUGAUACUGGAGAGCUGAGUCCGGGAGAGGUGAGUGGAACUGCGAGUGUAGAGGUGAAAUUCGUAGAUAUUCGCAAGAACACCAGUGGCGAAGGCGGCUCACUGGCCCGGUACUGACGCUGAGGUGCGAAAGCGUGGGGAGCAAACAGGG